GCCUUGUUAUAUCAGUCGGUAGAUAGUUUGACUCUUACACCUGUCUGUAACCAUCAAAAUGUCAUGGGUUCGAGCCCCAUACGAGGCU